UAGCACAUUUGACAAAUGAACAUGGGUAGGCUGUUUAUACUGUACUUUGUUAAUUGAUGUUUAUGAUGUUAUUGGUUUAUGUUUGUGUGUGUGUAGAAAAAGCCCUUCCUGUAGUUUAAAGGAAGAAUCUGCGAAGAGAAUCAUCUCCCUAUUCCUAUGCUUGGUUGACCCCAGGAGCAAGUUUCGUUAUGUUGGAACAGCAAAUUGUCUUCCAUUUUGAUGCUGGUUCACCUUUUGCCACCCUCUCAAGUCACCGCCACGUAAGACCGGGAAAGAUCUCAGCUAGGCAAACGUGAUCGUCUUGUGAAAUUCAUCAAGACUGUUACCAGUAUCCAAGGGCAGUUGGAUGGCUUUUGAGAGAGUCUCCAGCUGUAUCUACUUGUUGUUGGGCUGAUGAGAAGUAGGGUCCAGUCUUGU